CUCUACAAGUGUGACAUCAGCGGUCAUGGAGAGUCUCCAUCCAGCUGGAUCACUGUCACAGGGGAACACACCACCACACCUCCACCUCCAUCACUCUCUCCUCCUGUUAUCUCCGUGUUGUCAUUUGUUGGAUCAGUCUGUGUUGUGGUUCUACUGGUGUUACUGGUUCUGCUGGUAAGACGAUAUGUUCACAGGAAACCUGAAGACAGUGAUCCAGCUGCUGUUUACUCAGCAGUGAGAACUGAAGACGUCACUUAUGGACCAAUCAUCAUCAAAGAUGAGAAGAAAAAAUCAAAGAUGAGAGGUACAGCUGCUCUUCUUUAUGUUCAUCAAGAUUUACCUUUACUGCAAGGCUUGGCUUUAUUUUACAGUGGAUAUGAAAAGUGCACACCUCUAUAAAAAUACCAGGGUUUUGUGUGUCAUGAUUCGGCUGUGUGGUUGGCAGGAAGUGGACCCAAACGCAAGCUCAUGGAGGCAGGAAUGAACUCAAAACACAGCUUUAUUGCUGGACAGGAAAACCGUACAAACUAAACUGGAAACUAUAACAUAUUACACGGAGAAACACACGGCCAUGAAUGAGGAAGAACGCGACACAGAACUGAGGGAGACGCAGACAUAAAUACACAGAGGGUUAACGAGGGAAGUGGGAGCACACGGGGAACACAGGUGACACUGAUAAUCAUAACAUGACACGGCAGGAGUAAACCUAACACUGACGGGAGACUGUCAAAGUAAAACAGGAAGUACUCGGAGGUUCCGACAGGAGGAGAGAGAGGACAGACAUAACGGGCUGGUGAAAACAUGGAACAAAACACAAGGAGGGGAAACGAGGGCUCACAGAUACACAGAGGGGCACACGGGGGGUAAUCAAAUAAGGAACAUCUAAACAGAACCUAGGAACCAAUGCAUAAAUAAAGAACAACAUACAAAACACACGAAAACUAAGAAUACUGGGCCAACAUGGCCCAGGACCAUGACAUUGUGAUUAUAACUAUUGAGAUCACAAUAAAUUAUUUGAAGGCCUUUCCCAUCUUUAAUGCAAUGAGUGAAAAACCUAUACAUUAUGGUAAAAAUAAAUAAAUCUAGUAGGGCAAAAAAUAUAAAUAAAAUUGAACACAUUAUGAAUAUAAUGAAACAGUACAGUAAGCUGGUUAUAUAGGUGUGUACACCCUUAAUCUAAUACUUUGCUGAAGCACAGAUUGAUUUAACCACAGGAUGCAGUCUUCUUGGGUAAACACCUGCUGAGAAUUAAAGACACAAUUACGGUCAAUCAAUCAAGCAAAAGUGUGCUGUGCUAAUAAGACUUUCCAGACAAUUACUUGGCCAUCAAAGGGAUCUCAUUGUUGAAAGGCUUUAGUUAAGGCGGAAACUUCUCAGUGAUCCUGCUAAGACCCCUGCAGCAACACUGAGGGAGCUGCUGGAAUUUCUGGCAAGUACUGUUGUGUACUAAAUGUAAUAAUCUAUUUUCAAUAUGUCUGGGAUGCUCAUCUGUAACUGAAAGAUUGCCGGUUCGAUCCCCCAGCUCUCUCUGUCCUGGUCGUUGUGUCCUUGGGCAAGACACUUUACCCUACUGCCUACUAGUGCAAUAAUGCAAUCUAUUAUUAUUAUAUCAAUGGGAUGUCAGGUGUGUUGUGACUUUAGCAGUACUUAGCAGCAAAUAAUAAACUUAUAUAACCCAUAUAGGUCUAAUAUCUGAGAUUAGUACUCAGCAAGUUCUCAGCAUAUAUGAGACAUAAAGACACAGGAUGAAUAAAACAAGUAUCUUUAUUACAAUUAUAGACUUUGACUGUUCUGCAUAUAAAACCACAGGAGCGACAUCCUGUUGUUAACUGUAGUCAGUCCGACCUGGGUGAGUGUUCUUGUUCUGAGAACAUGUUUGUCUUGUGCCCUGUGGUCAAAGGUGUCAGUCUGUUUAACUGAAGAUGGCAGCUUUGUGGUUAUCCACACGUCUUUUACACAGAAAGUCCCCCCAUUUCUUUGUAUACAGGUGCUGUUUUAGAACUGAGGUGUUAAGAUGAGGAAAAAACAGUGUAAAGCUGCUGCAGUUUAUAAUAGGCUCCACUUAAUGCUGCAUGAAAGAAAAAUAAUUAUAAUUAAAUGUUUUUCCAUUGCUUCCAUCACAAAUGACAUCAUGGCCCUCCCCCUUGUCUGUCUCCUUACUUUAUAAACAUUUUAUGAUAGUGGAUGAAUCCAAAUAUCAAUAAUGUCAGCAUCAGCAUUUGUAUUGAUAUUAAUUAAUACAAGUGCAAAGAGAUCGAUACUUUAGUUUCUAUUUCUCUCCUGUUCAUACUGCUGAGGUUUCAUCAAAGAGGAAGCCGUCUGUGUAAGUGCCGCUGCUUUUAAGUGUCACAGCGCAGAGCAGCCACAGUCUGGUCCUCCUCUACUCUCUGCCAUACCAGCAGCCUGGUAUGGCAGAGAAUAUCCAGGAAUGAUAAUAUGUUGCAAUAUGUUAGUUUUUUUCAGCAUUAUUUUAUUUUGUGCCACUGACUAGCCCAUUUAAAAGUAUGAAUUAUGCUAAGAUCUUGACAUAUUAGAUUUAUUUCAUUGAAAAAAAUGCUAAAUAUAUGGCUCAGAAUUGAUUAGAUAUAAUUACACUUUUGUUUUAACUUUGAAAGGGAUACUGCAUCAUUACUAUAUUUAAAUUACAAGUAGAUGUGGUACAGACUUAAUCAUUGCUUUAUUUCUGUCCUUGGUUUUAACUAAUUAACGCAAAAGAAGAAUCACAAAAAACACAUGAAUUCAAUUCAAUUUUAUUUGUACAGCACCAAAUCACAACAAAAGUCACCUCAAGGUGCUUUAUAUUGUAAGGUACCCUACAAUAACAGAUUCCGAGACAAACCCAACAAUCAUAUGACCCCCUAUGAGCAAGCACUUUGGCAACAUUGAGAAGGAAAAACUCCUUUUUAACAGGAAGAAACCUCCGGCAGAACAAGACGCAGAAAGUGGCGGCCAUCUGCAUACUCAGUGCAUCAUGGGAAUCGCCAAGCAGCCGACACCUAUUGCAUUACUAACAAAACAAAGAAACCAGGAACUGACGAAAAACAACAAUAGAAGCCAGGCGCACAGGGACACACACAGCAAUCAUGGUACAACAUGACAACAGGCAGAGGAAAACACAGGGCUUAAAUACACAGCAAAACUUAAUACUCUAAAAAAGGACACAAGGCUGUCAAAGUAAAACAGAAAACACGAGACAGGCACAGAGACAAGGAUACAUGACUGACUGGGGAGACAGAGGGAUGGAUACAGGAGAUGCACAAACACAGAGAUAAGCGAGACUAGGGAUAAAACAUGGAAUACAUGGGAGGCACAAUAAAAAACCUAGAAACUAGAAAGUAUUAAAGCACAGUCCAUAAAUGCCUGGUAGGACUUGUUGCCAGAGUCCAUAUAAAAUAAGUCAAUCUAGCAGAAAUGUCACUAAGCCAUCCCACAAAAACUCAGUGAUGCCUCCAACCUAACCUCCUAACAAUCACCUCAGUUUGGAAAGAUUAACUCCAGUUUAUUCUGUGAAGCCAUGUGAAAUAUUAGGCAGAACAGAGGCACAGUGUUGCAUCAAAGCAACACUCAAGAAUUAUUAUUGUGCGAUGUACUGUACAAUAUAAAGCGCCUUGAGGCGACUUCUGUUGUGAUUUGGCGCUAUAUAAAUAAAAUUGAAUUGAAUUGAAUUGAACUCAAGAAGCUCCUGAGUUCGAUUCCUCCACCUGGCCACCACCAUCCUGUGUGGAGUUCAGACUUCAUGUUCUACCUGUGUUUGCCUGAGUUCUCUGUGGCUUGAAUGUGAGUGCAAACAGUUGUCUGUCUCUCUGUGUUAGCCCUGCGACAGACUAGUGACCUCUACAGGGUGCACGCCACCUCUCACCAUAUGGUAGGUGGGAUAGGCUCCAGCCCUCUGAUGACCCCACUGACUGAAAACACUUUUAUAUUAUUUGUCUGAUUACAACCGAAGAUAAAUGGGACUUUAAACCAGAGCCAGACGUCAUCUACUCUUCACUGAAGUAGUCCACCAGUCCAACCACUGACAUCCAGCUGCUGGUCUCUAACUGGUCCCCCCAGCACCUCAGACCAGAGGACAUCCACAUGUUACAGAUCUUAUGUCUCUCUACCACCAAAUUAAACAUAUAUAUCACAAAAAAGUGAUGAAAAUGUUUUUAAAUGUAUAUUAUACAGGUAUAUAGACACACACCUCUAUAAUGAAAUCGUCCUCUUGUUUUGUGUCCUCAGUAAAGUUACUGUCUUUGUUUGUUUGUCGAAUGCUGAUCAACAGUUUAGUUUCCCUGUGACAUUAAUAAACAUUAGCCUCAUCUGUUUUCCUCGUGUGGUUCUGUGGGUUUCACAAAGGUGUCACAGAUAAAAUCUGACUUGUUCUGGUCUGGUUGUGGCUAACCAAUGCACACGUUUUUUCACUGAAGAAAACAAAGAAUAAAGAUUAAACCACAACC